UACCAGCUCUCCGAGUGGUGUGGAUGUUUAUUGGGCCUAAAGCAUCCGUAGCUGGCUGGGCAAGUCCCCUGUUAAAUCCACCGAUUUAAUCGUUGGAGUGCGGGGGAUACUGCUCGGCUAGGGGGCGGGAGAGGCAGACGGUAUUUUCGGGGUAGGGGUGAAAUCCUAUAAUCCCGAGAAGACCACCAGUGGCGAAGGCUGUCUGCUAGAACGUGCCCGACGGUGAGGGAUGAAAGCUGGGGGAGCGAACCGGAUUAGAUACCCGGGUAGUCCCAGCUGUAAACGAUGCAGGCUAGGUGUUUGGACGGCCACGUGCCGUUCUAGUGCCGCAGGGAAGCCGUUAAGCCUGCCGCCUGGGGAGUACGGCCGCAAGGCUGAAACUUAAAGGAAUUGGCGGGGAGCACCACAAGGGGUGAAGCUUGCGGUUU
rnacentral:rRNA from 1 species